AGAUGAUGAGUAAUGGACUUUCAUACAAGGAAACUUCACCUUUUAAUACAGUGCAAUUUGGGUCAACAUCUUUCUCUUAAUAGCUUUUUCCUCUUGUCAGAGUGGAACGUUUUAUAAAAGGACAAUUUCCUAACUAUUAAACCUGAGCACAGACAUUUAUCCAGAGAUUAUUCUGAUUUCUGACAUUUGGAUCUCUCUCUCUCAUCUGGGUUUGGAUCCCAAGCUGCCUGGGUUAUGAGAGCUGAUAAAGUCACAGCAUUAGAAGAUACUGGCUGAAGGACAGUUCAGCAUAUGGAGUCUAUUCCGAGAAUUUAUACAGCAGACUUCUCUGGAGGGAGAGAAAUCAAAACAUAUGUUUUUCAAAAGUGCUGGAAUGGCCUGAUUAGCAGAAAUUACCAAUGGUCUGGAAGAGUUAAAAAGCAGCCCAGUAAUUUGAACAGCCAGACAUCAUCCAAAACC
rnacentral:lncRNA from 1 species